AGGGUGUUAGUGGUUAAAGUUGACAUAAUUAACUAGCUGCAAAAAGGAAGCCAGAAGUCAUAUCUCUGCUAGUCAUUCUCAUAAUGAAAAUUUGCCUUGAGCCUAAACUCGGUCUCUGAUUUGCUUUUCUGAGAUCAAUGCUCUGGGACUGGGAAUACUCUUGGCAUUCAUAUACUGCAGAACUUGAGAUCUACUUAGAGAAAAAUAAAAGAAACAGCAAGGAAAAGCAACAACAUGGAAUUAGUAGGAAAAGUAUUUCACUAAAGUUAGAAACGAGAAAAAAAAUCUGCAAGAUCAAAUAGCCUGUCUGUAGAAAUAGGAUACCAAUCUAUUUAUAUAAAUUUCUAAAGCUGAACUUGGGGUAGAUUCAGCUGAGGAAAACAGGAACAGGUGGUAGCAGAUUACUGCAAACGUGGUACAUUCUAGGCCAAUUGUGAAAAAAAACCAAACAACAACUGAGUCUCACCUAAAUAUAGUGCCCUGUUUAAGUAUUUUGCAGUUCUUCUGAUGUGGGGAGUAUAUCACACAUUACAAAACACAUCAA